AACCUAGCACACCUGCGGUGUGUACCUGCGGAAGGAUCAUUAUCGAGUUACCACUCUAUAACCCUUUGUGAACAUACCUACAUGUUGCUUCGGCGGUCGGCCCCCCGGGCCCCCGGCCCCGCUCACGCGGGGCGUCCGCCGGAGGAUAACCAAACUCUGAUUUAACGACGUUUCUUCUGAGUGGCACAAGCAAAUAAUCAAAACUUUCAACAAUGGAUCU
rnacentral:misc_RNA from 1 species